UUUAGAGCUUUAUAAUAAGGAUUUUCAUAUGCCUUUAGUUAGAGACAAUAUCAAGUUGUCUAUGUGUUUACUUCGAUUGCACUUGAUUGUGCACUUUAAUAUUUUGAGCGUUAUUUUCAUUUUUAUAAUUGUUAGGAUGAACCCGAAAAUUCUUUAAUAGGCUCCCUAGCAUUUUAGUUGGCAUGUAAUCAAGUUUAGGUACCAAAAGACCAUUAAUUUUAAAACUAAUGUAAUCAAG
rnacentral:lncRNA from 1 species